rnacentral:lncRNA from 1 species
GGGAUUCGAUCUCGAUUCCCAUUUCUUUUCAAAUAAAUACAAAUCCCUCCAUCUUUCUAAAUUAUUCUCUCACCUUAGAUUUCAAUAGUAAUUAAACCCUAAUCAUUCCAAUACUAAAGAAAAAUGAUACUACCCCUCACAGAGUCUCUUGACUUUGUAACAAGGCAAGAUUUAAUUGCCGAUUCUAUAUUCAUAGUAGAUCUCAAGCAUCACUACUCUCCACUGAACUUAAGUAAGCACUUCUUUUGCUUCCAAAUUUUCUUUGAUUUAUUGAAAAGUUGUGUAGUGAAUCAAAGGGUUUUUCAAACCAUAGAUUUAAAAGUUUGAGCAAUUGGGGUUGGUUGGGUCACUUGUUUUUAUUGAAAAGAUGAACUUGAAUGUAGGUUAGGGGUAAUUAGGUAGUUAAUUGUGGUUGUUGGUUACCCUAGGUGAAGUAUGAGUAACCUUGAUAUUGUUGUUCACAUUAGUCACGAGCGCAUUGUCUGUAGUGUCACUUUGAUGAUCUUUGUGAUGAUAAAUAGAUGAUUAUAUACUACUACUCACUUGAAAAAAAAUUUGAAUUGAUGCAUAAGAAAGGUACUACCUAUUGCAUCCCCUACGACUCCCAUAAUGACUCAUUUCCAGACAUCAUGAGUCAUUGUGUGAGUUGUAAUGACUACAUCUAGGUUAAGUAAAUGGUUAAUUCCCUUUUAAUUACAUAUGUUCUCCCUACGAGUCACUUGACGACUCAUAGGGCCACUAGAAAAAUCAUCAGGUGAACCAUUCUGAUAGGACCUACUUUGCACUUCACAGGACUCUACUCAAUGGUUCACCCAAUGAGUCAUUGUGUAACCACAUAAGUCAUGGGGUGCAGUUGUUUAGAAACCAUUCAAGAUGACUAGUUAAGUUCAGGCCAUACGACUCUGAUGACGACUCAUCUGAACAACGAUAACUCAUUAUCUAACUCAUAGUUACUGGGAGUAGAGGUUACCUGUAAAAAAAAAAAAUUCCUACUUUUUUUAUUGCUUUCUUUGAUUAAUUUUACUAAUGUGUAAUCCCCUGCAGGUACCAUGGCACCAAAGAAUGACAACAUAAAGGAUGAAAACAAAAAGGCAAUCCGACUCCCAAGAAACAAGCUUAGUACACUCACCAAUUAAGAGAUGAACCUUUUGUGGACGAGCAGGAGUAGAGUAGAUCAGUAUCUUAGGACUAUUCCAGCCAUGGAGUAGCUUGCCCAAGGCAGUAGAUCAAGGCACUAAAUAAAGAGUGUUUGGGCCUCUCCAGCACAUUCACUUUUUCCUCCCUAAUCUGAAGAGGGAGGAGAGUCUGGGUCUGGGUUUGAUUAUGAGAAAAAAGGGGAUAAAAUGUUUCGAAGAGUCAGGAUGACACUGCAUAGUGAAAUAUGGUCAAAAUCCAACUUGAGAGAGUCCACAGAUAGUGAGAAAGGGGACGAUAUUGACAAUUCUCCAUAUAUGGUUCC